AUUACAUUGCAAAAUAAAUUCUUCCCUUUUACAAGCCUCGUGUCCCGUACAGGCCCGUCGUGUCACGUAUAACAAAUGUAUUUUUUGUAUCAGAGUCUUCAUAAGGCUAAUAACUACAAAUUUUUCUUUAAUAAUUGCCUUUUUAUUAUGGAGGGUAGAGGUACUUUUUAUUACCUUGGCACUUGCAAUGGGGUUGGCAACUGUCAAAGUGGCGCUGUUGUGCAUUGUUCUCAUAACAUUUAAUAUUUGUAUUGGCAUUUUUGAUUAAAAAAUAUUUCAAACACGAUGACGCGUUGUUUUAUGCCAAUAUGCUCAGAAAUUGGAGUACAUCAAUUCCCGAAGGACAAGAAAAUUGGAAGACUGUGGUUAAAGGUUAUUUGACGCGAAAAAAGUACUCCCACAAAAAGUUCGAGGUUAUGUCGGUAACACUUUGUGGAAUCUGACUAUGAAAACAUUAGUAAAUACACAGGUGUCAAACAUCAACAUAAAUAUCUGAAGAAAGGUGCUGUACCAUAUAUAUUGGAAUAUUUAACCAGUUUCUGAAGAAACAAAAAGUAGACAACAAAGGUUACAAACUUUUAACCUUAAAAAACAGCUUUUUAGCCUGCCCAACACUUCCCAAUACUGUGAAGAUAUACAUAGUACCCCUUGAAGAACACAGCAAUGUGCAUUUUGAUUCAAAUGUCUCUCAAGAAAUUCUAGUAGAAAAUAAUAACUCUAGUAUAGAUGAAACGAUUACAAGGCAUCAUAUUACUAUUGGAACUCAAACACCCAAUAUAUUAAGAUUGUUCUCUACAGAGCCAUUACUUGCAGACGAUGAGACAGUGCAAUACUACACCGGGUUGAAAACAGCAUCUAAGUUUUCAUUAGUUUUAAUCACACUUUUGCCUGUGGCAAAUGAUAUAAGAUAUCGCUGGAGUAGAGUGGUCGGCAUAUCAAUAGAAGAUACAUUUUUAAUGUUAAAGCUUAGAAGAAACACAACAGAUUUUGAAUUAAGUAAAAUUUUUGAUCACACAUUAUCCCUCCACAAGGGUGAUUAUAGAUGGGACUGAAAUAGGCAUACAGAAGCCUAGGCAACCUGAUGCUCAAAAAGCCUCAUUUAGUUCUUAUAAACAUAAAAAUACCUUGAAAUUUUUGGUAGGAGCUUCACCAGGGGGAUUAUUUACAUAUGUUUCAAACAGCUAUGCUGGUUCUGCAAGUGAUCGACAGAUAGUAGAACAAAGUAAGCUGCUGCAGAUUUGUGAUUCUGGAGAUAGUAUUAUGGCAGACAGAGGUUUUAAUGUACAGGAUCUGUUUCCCCUAAAGGAAUGAGUAUAAAUAUCCCAUCUUUUUUAAAAGGUAAGUCACAAAUCCCAGAUGUUCAGUUAAAGAUAGAUCAAAAAUUAGCUAGAAAGUUCACAUAGAACGAUUAAUAGGGCUAACAAAAACUUAUUUAAUAUUUUUAUGUACAUUUAGUAUCUAAAAUAUUUUUCAUAUGUGUAAUGUUAUGUAAUUUUAGAGAAGGAAUUGUCAAUAAAAACAAUUAAAAAUA